rnacentral:snRNA from 1 species
AGCUCGAGUUUCUCUUCAUUGUCGCAUAAAUCUUUCGCCUUUUAAUAAAGAUUUCCGUGGAGGGGAACUUUUGCGAGUGAUCUGUAUUUUUGGGGGCUCUGCUCACAGCAGAGCU